GGGGGAUUCACAAAUCUGACAAAUUCUUCCUCUGUCAGCUUAGUCCAAAAAUACACUCAACCCUGCAAAUUCCCUUUAAAAAAUCUUACUGUAAAACUUAAAGUCACCAUUAAUGGUGAAUCAAGAAAGUCAAUCUUAAGAAUUUUCCCAUUUUUGAACAACCAUAGUCAUAAAGAUUGAGUCUUUUGAGUUUUCUGAGGAAAAAAAAGCUAUCUUU
rnacentral:misc_RNA from 1 species